rnacentral:rRNA from 1 species
GACGAACGCUGGCGGCGUGCUUAACACAUGCAAGUCGAACGGAAAGGCCCUGCUUUUGUGGGGUGCUCGAGUGGCGAACGGGUGAGUAACACGUGAGUAACCUGCCCUUGACUUUGGGAUAACUUCAGGAAACUGGGGCUAAUACCGGAUAGGAGCUCCUGCUGCAUGGUGGGGGUUGGAAAGUUUCGGCGGUUGGGGAUGGACUCGCGGCUUAUCAGCUUGUUGGUGGGGUAGUGGCUUACCAAGGCUUUGACGGGUAGCCGGCCUGAGAGGGUGACCGGCCACAUUGGGACUGAGAUACGGCCCAGACUCCUACGGGAGGCAGCAGUGGGGAAUAUUGCACAAUGGGCGGAAGCCUGAUGUAGCAACGCCGCGUGCGGGAUGACGGCCUUCGUGUUGUAAACCGCUUUCGCCUGUGACGAAGCGUGAGUGACGGUAAUGGGUAAAGAAGCACCGGCUAACUACGUG